rnacentral:rRNA from 1 species
GGACUGAAGCAUUUAGCCGGCCGCGGUUUCGCGUGUUAGUGCUGGAUGCUCUGUCCAUCCUUCCAAUCGCUAUUGGCUAUUCUUCAUUGAAUGGUCAGUAGUAUUGGAUCUUUUACUUUGAAAAAAUUAGAGUGUUUCAAGCAGGCUUUAUGCUAUGAAUACAUUAGCAUGGAAUAAUAAUUUAGGACUUCGGUUCUAUUUUGUUGGUUUCUAGGAUUGACGUA